AUGGCUUCCCCGUCCCCAUCCCCCUCCCCUCUCCACCCGCACCAGCUCCAGCAGCACCCGCUCCCCCCGCACCAGCACCCACACCCGCAGUACCAGGCCCCGCCCCCUUCGAUGCCCCCGCCGCCGGGGGCGCCCCCCAAGGCCAUGGAUCUGGAGGUCACCGUCGUCUCGGGCAAGCACCUGAAGAACGUCAACUGGCGCCGCGGCGAUCUCCGCGCCUACGCCGUCGCCUACCUCGAUCCCUCCCGCCGCACCGCCACCCGCCCCGACGACGCCGGCGGCUGCAAGCCCGCGUGGAACGAGCGCAUCACCCUCCAGCUCCCGCCUCACCUCUCGCCGCACGACCCCUCGCUCCUCCUCUCCCUCGACGUGUUCCACUCCAAGCCGUCCGACUCGCCCAAGCCGCUCGUCGGCUCCGCCCGCUCGCCUCUCCGCGACCUCCUCUUCCCCGCCGGCCCUAACCCUAGCUCCGACUCCCCCACCUCACCGAUCAUCACCCUCCCGCUCCUGCGCCCCUCCGGCCGCCCUCAGGGCAAGCUCCGCAUCCGCGUCGCCCUUCGCGAGCGCUCGCCGCCUCCCCCUGAGCCGCAGUAUCCGCCUCCUUCCUCCUCCCCCUACUAUUUCCCAGCCCCCCCGCCUCCCACCUAUUCGGCACCGCCGCAGUACGGCUCAGACCAGUACUACCGUCCUAGCGGGUACUACUCAGCGCCACCAGCACCGCCUCCUUCUCAGUACGAGUACACCACAGGGCCCUCUGCACCUGUGGAGUACGGCAGGCAAUAUGAGCAAAGAGGAAGGACUGAGGGUGUGACUGGGCAGUAUGAUCCGAGAAGGACUGAAGGUGUUACUGGGCAGUAUGAGCCAAAAGGAAGGACUGAGGGUGUGACUGGGCAGUAUGAACAAAGAGGAAGGACUGAGGGGGGGACUCCCAGCGAAAGGUAUGGAUUAGGCACUGGGCUUGCUGUGGGUGCAGUUGCUGGGGGCGUUGGGGCGCUUGCAAUUGAUGAAGGUGUGAAGUAUAAGGAGGAAAAGGCGGCAGAGAGGGUGGGAGAGAAGGUGACUCCUGCCGCAAGGGAUGAUUACAGCGAGUAUCGUCGAGAAUAUUGA
rnacentral:rRNA from 1 species